rnacentral:rRNA from 1 species
GAAAAUGUACCGGGGCUAAACAUAUUACCGAAGCUGUGGAUUGUCCUUUGGACAAUGGUAGGAGAGCGUUCUAAGGGCGUCGAAGCAUGAUCGCAAGGACAUGUGGAGCGCUUAGAAGUGAGAAUGCCGGUGUGAGUAGCGAAAGACGGGUGAGAAUCCCGUCCACCGAUUGACUAAGGUUUCCAGAGGAAGGCUCGUCCGCUCUGGGUUAGUCGGGUCCUAAGCUGAGGCCGACAGGCGUAGGCGAUGGAUAACAGGUUGAUAUUCCUGUACCACCUAGUAUCGUUUUAAUCGAUGGGGGGACGCAGUAGGAUAGGCGAAGCGUGCUGUUGGAGUGCACGUCCAAGCAGUAAGGCUGAGUGUUAGGCAAAUCCGGCACUCAUAAGGCUGAGCUGUGAUGGGGAGAGGAAAUUGUUUCCUCGAGUCGUUGAUUUCACACUGCCGAGAAAAGCCUCUAGAUAGAUAACAGGUGCCCGUACCGCAAACCGACACAGGUAGUCAAGAUGAGAAUUCUAAGGUGAGCGAGCGAACUCUCGUUAAGGAACUCGGCAAAAUGACCCCGUAACUUCGGGAGAAGGGGUGCUCUUUAGGGUUCACGCCCAGAAGAGCCGCAGUGAAUAGGCCCAAGCGACUGUUUAUCAAAAACACAGGUCUCUGCUAAACCGUAAGGUGAUGUAUAGGGGCUGACGCCUGCCCGGUGCUGGAAGGUUAAGAGGAGUGGUUAGCUUCUGCGAAGCUACGAAUCGAAGCCCCAGUAAACGGCGGCCGUAACUAUAACGGUCCUAAGGUAGCGAAAUUCCUUGUCGGGUAAGUUCCGACCCGCACGAAAGGCGUAACGAUUUGGGCACUGUCUCAACGAGAGACUCGGUGAAAUCAUAGUACCUGUGAAGAUGCAGGUUACCCGCGACAGGACGGAAAGACCCCGUGGAGCUUUACUGUAGCCUGAUAUUGAAAUUCGGCACAGCUUGUACAGGAUAGGUAGGAGCCUUUGAAACGUGAGCGCUAGCUUACGUGGAGGCGUUGGUGGGAUACUACCCUAGCUGUGUUGGCUUUCUAACCCGCACCACUUAUCGUGGUGGGAGACAGUGUCAGGCGGGCAGUUUGACUGGGGCGGUCGCCUCCUAAAAGGUAACGGAGGCGCUCAAAGGUUCCCUCAGAAUGGUUGGAAAUCAUUCAUAGAGUGUAAAGGCAUAAGGGAGCUUGACUGCGAGACCUACAAGUCGAGCAGGGUCGAAAGACGGACUUAGUGAUCCGGUGGUUCCGCAUGGAAGGGCCAUCGCUCAACGGAUAAAAGCUACCCCGGGGAUAACAGGCUUAUCUCCCCCAAGAGUUCACAUCGACGGGGAGGUUUGGCACCUCGAUGUCGGCUCAUCGCAUCCUGGGGCUGUAGUCGGUCCCAAGGGUUGGGCUGUUCGCCCAUUAAAGCGGUACGCGAGCUGGGUUCAGAACGUCGUGAGACAGUUCGGUCCCUAUCCGUCGUGGGCGUAGGAAAUUUGAGAGGAGCUGUCCUUAGUACGAGAGGACCGGGAUGGACAUACCUCUGGUGUACCAGUUGUCGUGCCAACGGCAUAGCUGGGUAGCUAUGUAUGGACGGGAUAAGUGCUGAAAGCAUCUAAGCAUGAAGCCCCCCUCAAGAUGAGAUUUCCCAACUUCGGUUAUAAGAUCC